UGUUGGUUCUCCCGCAACACUAACUUGUUAACUCGGUCAGGUCCGGAAGGAAGCAGCCAUGACAGGUAUCGUGUGUGCCGGGAUGUCGCUGGCAAGG
rnacentral:SRP_RNA from 2 species